AUGACGUGCCGUGAAGAAUGACAGUUACGCCGCAAAAUAUCAGCCCCGAACAUGAAAUCCUUCCUUAAUGAAGUUAUUAGCUCAUUGAUAAUUAAGGAUCUUCUUCCAUGUCAUCGGGAUCGGGAACCAUAAUGAAGUGCUUUGGAUAUACAAGGUUGUGUGGGAUGCUCCUGUUGUAUGAUUUGAUGAAUCUUGGAAUUCAAGUAUUUGUGUAGCACUGGGUCUAGAGAGAGGCUGACAUUCAGUGAAGUACCAGGUUCAAAUAAUUAGAAGAUUUUAAUUCAGAACAGUGAUUCCACCUCUCUUGGAACAGUCAUAUCUGCUGAGAAGUUUAAGGAAGGAACCUUGAGAAAGCAUCAGAGGUGGCUUUGGAGGUGGAAUCUGAAGAAACUAGAGGAGAGAAGAAAGGAAGAAUGGAUUACAAAAGAUGAGCAAGAUGCCUGGAAUUUCACACGUACAUCAUCUCUUUGGGUCACAGAGAAAGCCAUGCUUGAUUAACACUGAGGAUUUGCGUGCGACCUAUGGCUGGUGUCCAAUGACUUCUCCCAUUUUCAGAACACUUCUGUAAUGUUGCCGUCAGUGGUGAAUAUAUGACAUCCAAGGAAAGGUGUUUCAUGAGCACCUUAAAUUUUAAACAUUGCACUACAAGACAAGAAGAGAGACGGUAGUAAUGAUAGCAAUGAUGAUGAUGACAAGUUGAACGACAACAAUGACUAGACCAGGAGUUCUACGGGAAAAAGAAGGGACACUGACGUUUUGCUCAUCACGGUAGGCCUGGCACCUAGCUUAAGGACUGCCUCAGAAUCAGUGAUCAACACAUGGCUGUUGAAUGGGUUACGCUGAUGGUGGUAAUGCUGUCUUUCAACUUCUCUUUAUGACACUUAACGCAGAAGAGGUGGCAUGUACUCCCUGAGACAAAAGAUGCAGGUCAGGCAUGAGACGUUCUGCGGCUUGCCAAAAGGAAGAGGAUUUCCUUCUUGCGCAUUCUUCCCCUCCCAUUUAAACAAUGUCCACAAGCUGGGAGAAGGUAUAUAAACAUAUAGAUUGUAUUUGCACACCCAGCUCUGGGUUGAUAAUGGCCACAUUUCCUGCCUUAGGAAAACUGCCAGCCUCUCUGUCGUCAAAGUUCUCUUUGUCCCCAUAAGGCAAUUCAUUAACCUUUCCUUGAGCUGAGGAGAGUGCCCAGGUACCUCGCCCUGGAUGUUGACCUUUGGCUAUCUCCUUCCAAUCUUUUCCCACAGCAGUUAAGAAGGAGUUCCUUAAGUGAGAAGUUCCUUGAAAAUUGCGCAUAAAGCUAAUUGCUUGAAGAGGUAGUUGAUUGCCUAAAGGUAAGUUUGAUUUUUUUUUUCAUUACCCCAUCAAGAAAUCAAGUGACUCAAGAAAUUGUUGUGGUUUACAAAAAGGAAAAAAAAAAAAAAGUAAGGGAACAGCUAUGAAUGUGUUGAUUACUACAAAGACAUUUCAUCUUCCCUCUCAACACCCCCCAACCCCAACACACAGAUAGACGCAUAUGCUGCUUUCUGUCAACUUCCAGUGUAGAGCAGCUGGAGUGUUCCUUAGGCUUGGCUUUAGGUAAAGGUUCUAACUCAUUACCCAAAUGAGAGGCC
rnacentral:lncRNA from 1 species